rnacentral:rRNA from 1 species
AUACGUAGUGUGCGAGCGUUGUCCGGAAUUACUGGGCGUAAAGAGCUCGUAGGUGGUUUGUCGCGUCGUCUGUGAAAUUCCGGGGCUUAACUCCGGGCGUGCAGGCGAUACGGGCAUAACUUGAGUACUGUAGGGGAGACUGGAAUUCCUGGUGUAGCGGUGAAAUGCGCAGAUAUCAGGAGGAACACCGGUGGCGAAGGGGGGUCUCUGGGCAGUAACUGACGCUGAGGAGCGAAAGCAUGGGUAGCGAACAGGAUUAGAUACCCUGGUAGUCCAUGCCGUAAACGGUGGGCGCUAGGUGUAGGGGUCUUCCACGACUUCUGUGCCGUAGCUAACGCAUUAAGCGCCCCGCCUGGGGAGUACGGCCGCAAGGCUAAAACUCAAAGGAAUUGACGGGG